CCGGCUGCGACUUGAAACUUCGCACAGUAACGUAUGAUUAUAGCAUUCAAGUGCAUAGUACUGGUAUGUAAACAGGCGACGAUCGGUAUUCCCCGGGGCCCUCGAAUCAAGGUAUUACUUACAUACUGCUGGCAGUAUAAACGAAAGUAGAUCAUUUUGGCCGCUCUGUUUGUUGUCGAGAGUGCAACAAAAAAAAGUGGAAGGUCGUUAGUUGUUUAGAUGUUGCUGUAUAAACAUCGGUAGUGAAGUCGCCAUGUCAAGUUAUAGUUCUUUGUGAUACGUUGCGGCACUUAUAUUAAUUGAUCUUCGAAAUCAUCGAGCAGGAUUUGGUUCAUAGUGUGAAUUCGACUGUAGCUACGUGCAGCACGCCCGAGGACGAAAAAUGGACAACAUGUACGAAAUCGACCCGCCAGCGGACUUUGUCGUCAACAGUCACGUUGAUGAGCUGCAGAAUAUGUUUCCGGAAAUCGACCGAAGAGUCAUCCAGAAAUUGUGUCUGCAUCGAGACACAAAAAAUAAACAACAAGAAUUCUAUCAGAUCGUUGAUCUUCUUCUCGUUCUGAACGAAACGGACGACGCCGAGCUUCGCCAAGAAAUGCUGAACGAGUUUACUCGACAGUCGAAUCAGCCCAUUGAACAGAAGCCGAUUAUCGACGAAGAUCAAGUGCUCCUCGAGGCGCUGAUAUCUGCCGACCGACUGGCCGGAGCCAACGUAAAAAUGAACGAAAAAUUGUCGCUGGAUUUUAUUCGUUCGAGUGAGAAGGAGGAAAAAUUGGAGAUUCUCGAGAAUAUAUUACCCAACUUCAAUCCAGAUUUAUUGAGAGAAUUUGUUGAAAAAAAUCCGACAGAGGAAGAAAUGAUGAAUUUUACUGACUAUCACUUGGGCAGUGUCAACAAACUCAAUAAACAAUCGAGAAUUCAACACUUUUCUAAAUUGAAAAAUGAGCAGCUCAUUGCUCAGUAUACAAAGAACUUUAAAAUUGAAAAAUUUUUGGAACACUUUCCUUAUCCUAUUGAAUACUUUGAAAAUGUUGAUAAAAAACGUACUUAUAAUGAGGAAGCUUUGAAUUUUCUUAAAAUGAGAUACCAAUUUGUUGAUAGUAAUCAAGUGGAGAACUACUACGUAUGGAUGAAACACAGUUUAAGCCUGGCAGAUGAAAAAUUGCAGGAACAGUAUGGUAAAGGUGUUGUAUUAGCUGAAGUAAAUACUGUUCAAAUUCCUCUGCUACAAGAAAUAGCAUACAUACAAAAUAAAGAAGAUAUAAAAGAGUACUUGAGAACUAUGGAAAUAAAAGAUGAACAAAUUAUGAACGCAUUAAGGAAAAAUGGACUUAUUACUGAAUGUCAAUGUUGUUUCGAUGACAUGAAAUUGAGUGAUGUCUAUGCAUGUGGAAAUGAUCAUCUUUUCUGUAAGCGCUGUAUAAACAAAGGCACUGAUAUGGCAAUUUCAUGUGGCAAAACAGUAGUCCUUUGUUUUCAAGGAUGCGGCAGUGAGAUUCCAUUGCAAGAAAUUAAAAGAGGAUUGCCUCAUGACACAUAUGAGACAUUUUUGAAAAAAAGACAAGAGGCAGAGAUAGAUGCUGCAAAAAUUGAAAAUUUAUCAACUUGUCCAUUUUGUCCAUAUUCAAUGGAAUUAUCGCCUGAAAUCAAAAUUUUUAAAUGCCAAAAUUCAGAGUGCAAACUAAUUAGUUGUCGACUGUGUAAAAAAGUGAAUCAUCUACCGCUGAAGUGUGAAGAGGUCUUGGAUACACACAAAAGCCGAUUACUACUUGAAGAAGAAAUGAGCAAAGUUUUAAUAAGGGUUUGUUAUAGAUGUCAAAAGCCAUUUGUUAAAACACAUGGUUGUAACUUAAUGACCUGUACUUGUGGAGCUCGAAUGUGCUACGUGUGUAAAGCACCUAUCAAAAACCAUGAUCAUUUUAUCACCAGUGCACGUUGUGCUGUCAAUUCUGAUGUAUUAAAUACUGAACAAUUGAAAACGCGUAAAUCAGAAGUAAUAAGCUAUAUUGAAACACAAUUUCCAGAUGUUGAAAUUCCAAAAGUUGAUUAACCUGAUGAAUACUUUUGAUUUUGAAUCUAUUUCCAUUUACUGUUAUUCCAUUUUUUACUUUAACUUCGUCUUGGGGAACUCGCUGCGCAGAUUCACGUACUUGGGCACCUUGAACGCGGCCAAUCUACCCUUGGCGUACUCCACG
rnacentral:misc_RNA from 1 species